GCCAGCGGUAAUAGCACAAUGCACCAGUUCCCGAGGGAUCAUUGAAGUUAAGCAACAAUGAGCGUAUUUGGUGUACGGAUGGGUGAUUAUUUGGAAAAUCGUGUGCUGCUGGCA
rfam:Asian citrus Psyllid, Diaphorina citri - Florida Strain, whole genome shotgun sequence.